rnacentral:tRNA from 1 species
UAGUUCAGCUGGUUAGAAUACCGGCCUGUCACGCCGGGGGUCGCGGGUUCGAAUCCCGU